rnacentral:rRNA from 1 species
GAACCAGACUCCUACGGGAGGCAGCAGUGAGGAAUAUUGGUCAAUGGGCGAGAGCCUGAACCAGCCAAGUCGCGUGAAGGAUGAAGGAUCUAUGGUUUGUAAACUUCUUUUAUAUGGGAAUAAAGUGAGGAACGUGUUCCUUUUUGUAUGUACCAUAUGAAUAAGCAUCGGCUAACUCCGUGCCAGCAGCCGCGGUAAUACGGAGGAUGCGAGCGUUAUCCGGAUUUAUUGGGUUUAAAGGGUGCGCAGGCGGAAUGUCAAGUCAGCGGUAAAAUUUCGGGGCUCAACCCCGUCGUGCCGUUGAAACUGGCGUUCUUGAGUGAGCGAGAAGUAUGCGGAAUGCGUGGUGUAGCGGUGAAAUGCUUAGAUAUUGCGCAGAACCCCGAUUGCGAAGGCAGCAUACCGGCGGCGAUCUGACGCUGAGGCACGAAAGCGUGGGUAUCGAACAGGAUUAGAUACCCGUGUAG